UACGAGGGGGGCAAAUGUUGUUCGGAAUCACUGGGCGUAAAGGGAGCGUAGGCGGGUUUUUAAGUCAGGUGUUUAAUCCCGGGGCCCAACCCCGGACCGGCACUUGAAACUGGGAAUCUUGAAUAGUGGAGAGGUCAGUGGAAUUGGGGGUGUAGCGGUGGAAUGCGUAGAUAUUCGCAAGAACACCAGUGGCGAAGGCGGCUCACUGGCCCGGUACUGACGCUGAGGUGCGAAAGCGUGGGGAGCAAACAGGA
rnacentral:rRNA from 1 species